UACAUGUUUGCAAAAGUGAGCACACUGU
rnacentral:piRNA from 1 species